AGUUCCCUUCAAUGCAAAGUCCACAACUGUACAGCCACCAAGUAAAACCCAACAUGCUGGACUGCUUAAAGUCAGUUCUUUGAGAACUGGCAUUUCAGCUUCAACCACUUGGCACAUAACACUUGUCUGGCAAAAGCAGUGCAUCUUUAGUAGGGAACCCCUGUGAGGACUUGUACAAUGAUUGUAGUUUUCUGGAUGGUUUUUGUUUUGGGAACAUCACUGAAGAAGAAGUUGCACCUAGCAUCAGGUUGGACUCAUUCUGGCUGGAAAAAGAAAGAUGAUUCACACAAGAAGUAAUGGAUGCAGUCCUGCCACUGACAACUAAAUGCAGAGUUAUUAUUGGUAUCAAGAGUGACAAGGGCAUUCCAUUACAAAUGCAGCUCUGCAGCUAAACACACACCAAUGUACAACACCUGUUGGUGGUUUAAAGAAAAACUAUCCAGGCCAUGUCCAGUGACUAGCACCUGACAGUCCUCAACAUGGUCAAGCAUAUUGUUCAGGUUGUUGGUUUCACAUAAAGCAAUUGAAUGCCA